UAAUGUCUGGGAAACUGCCCGAUGGAGGGGGAUAACUACUGGAAACGGUAGCUAAUACCGCAUAGGUACGGACACUGCAUGGUGACCGUAUUAAAAGUGCCUCAAAGCACUGGUAGAGGAUGGACUUAUGGCGCAUUAGCUGGUUGGCGGGGUAACGGCCCACCAAGGCGACGAUGCGUAGCCGACCUGAGAGGGUGACCAGCCACACUGGAACUGAGACACGGUCCAG
rnacentral:rRNA from 1 species